GUCGAGAAUCUUCGGCAAUGGGCGAAAGCCUGACCGAGCGACGCCGCGUGGAGGAUGAAGGCCUUACAGGUUGUAAACUCCUGUUGGGGGGAAACAAACACUGAGUGAACCCCUGAGGAAGCACGGGCUAAGUUCGUGCCAGCAGCCGCGGUAAGACGAACCGUGCAAACGUUAUUCGGAAUCAUUGGGCUUAAAGAGCGCGUAGGCGGCGUCGUAAGUUGGAGGUGAAAUCCCACGGCUCAACCGUGGAACUGCCCCCAAUACUGCGAUGCUUGAGGGAGGUAGGGGCCUGUGGAACUUCCGGUGGAGCGGUGAAAUGUGUUGAGAUCGGAAGGAACGCCAGCGGCGAAAGCGGCAGGCUGGAUCUCUUCUGACGCUGAGGCGCGAAAGCUAGGGUAGCGAACGGGAUUAGAAACCCUGGUAGUCC
rnacentral:rRNA from 1 species